AUAGAAUGUAGUUCUGUUGUGUGACGCUGUUUUGCUACGCCAUUUUAAUAUUUUUGGGCUGCUUUGUGGGAUUAUUUGGGUGAAAUAUACAUAUUUUUUACUAUAAUUUACUUAUUUUGCCAAGUUUAUUUAACUCUAUAAUAUCAGGAUGUCUCGCUAUCGUGAAUGGGAUCUUUCUUGUAAAGUAUACGUAGGAAAUUUGGGUUCAUCGGCCAGUAAACACGAAAUUGAAAGCGCCUUUAGUAAAUACGGGCCUUUAAGGAAUGUGUGGGUUGCCAGAAAUCCUCCAGGUUUUGCUUUUGUCGAGUUUGAGGACCCUCGAGAUGCUGAAGAUGCCGUACGAGGAUUAGAUGGAACACGCUGCUGUGGCACAAGGGUAAGGGUAGAAAUGUCCAAUGGGAGGUCCAGAAGAGGAGGUGGUGGUAGGAGAGGACCAUCACGCUAUUCAAGGCCAUCAGCGCCACUGCUGUUGUAUUCUCCCUCUUGAGACUGAGACCCACACAUCCCUCCCUGGCCUACACAUCUCUUCAUCUUACAUCGAAUUACACCCAACAGACCAUCCACCAAUGGUGGUGUGUGAAAAACAUCUGCCUUCAGCUUUCAACCCGCUAAUGAAAAAAUGACAACUCGCGAAAUCGCCUCACCACUAGCCAGCAGGCAAUAGCAAAAUUGUCAAAAUAAAACCGACACAGCGUUAGUGGCUGUUCCACUGUCCCCCAGCGUGAGGGUUUAUCUCCACAGCUAUCAUCUUAACGAUUGACAUCUUACUACGACAAUCAGCUCCACAACGCCUUCCGUCACAUCUUAAUUUCUUCUAAAACAACCAGAGACUGGUCCAGAUCGCCGAGGCGCUCCCGCUCACCUCGUUCCCGUUCGAGGAGCCGUGAUUCCCGUGGCCGGUCCGAUUCAAGAGAUAGACGUUAAAG